rnacentral:lncRNA from 1 species
CAGUCUCAUGGCACUGUCUCCUGAAAGGGCAUGUGAAUUGCUGCAUCCUAGGGAAGUUUAUGGAGAUGGCAAGGAAAACAAUUUAUCUACUGUUUCCUAGUCUCCAUGUUUGUUGCAUGGGUAUUAACUCUCUUUCACUUUGGAGUUGCUCAUGUGUGUUGAGGAGGAAGUCUUGAACAUUUUGUACUCCAGGCAGCAGGGACUCUGCAUGAUGAGAGCUGUUAUUGAGAGGAAAACAAUCUCCUGGAUUCUUUUCUCAUCCUGGAAGUAUGGAUGCCUUCUCUAAAAACCAUAUACUUUAAGAAGGAUUUAAUAACUUGGUCCCUGGGUGUCAAUCAAUAAAGCACGUGAAUAACCAGUGCAAAGUGGUCACUCGGCUGCCCAAGGGGAGGUCAUCCAAGAAUGAAAUCAGUGUAACAACAGCUGAAUUGCAUCCUUCAUCAAAUGCAUGUAAAACAGACCAGAAAGACAUCAAUUCCCAAUGCUGGUAUGGGUGGUCUUUCUACUGCAUGUAUAAUUUCCAAUUUAACAAAGGUUAAUACCAUGUUGUAAUUUGAAAUGUCAAAAUAAUAAAUCCUAUGUGGGUAAACUAGAUGGUGGUUUUAAAAUUUAUAAUGAAUAUUCAGUUGAAAUAGUAAAGUCAUUUAAAUC